CCUACGGGGGGCAGCAGUGGGGAAUAUUGGACAAUGGGCGAAAGCCUGAUCCAGCCAUGCCGCGUGUGUGAAGAAGGCCUUCGGGUUGUAAAGCACUUUCAGUGGGGAAGAAAGCCUUGGGGCUAAUACCCUCGAGGAAGGACAUCACCCACAGAAGAAGCACCGGCUAACUCCGUGCCAGCAGCCGCGGUAAUACGGAGGGUGCGAGCGUUAAUCGGAAUUACUGGGCGUAAAGCGCGCGUAGGCGGUCUGAUAAGCCGGUUGUGAAAGCCCCGGGCUCAACCUGGGAACGGCAUCCGGAACUGUCAGGCUAGAGUGCAGGAGAGGAAGGUAGAAUUCCCGGUGUAGCGGUGAAAUGCGUAGAGAUCGGGUGGAAUACCAGUGGCGAAGGCGGCCUUCUGGACUGACACUGACGCUGAGGUGCGAAAGCGUGGGUAGCAAACAGGAUUAGAUACCCGAGUAGUC
rnacentral:rRNA from 1 species